GAACGCUGGCGGCGUGCCUAAUACAUGCAAGUCGAGCGAACGGACGAGAAGCUUGCUUCUCUGAUGUUAGCGGCGGACGGGUGAGUAACACGUGGAUAACCUACCUAUAAGACUGGGAUAACUUCGGGAAACCGGAGCUAAUACCGGAUAAUAUUUUGAACCGCAUGGUUCAAAAGUGAAAGACGGUCUUGCUGUCACUUAUAGAUGGAUCCGCGCUGCAUUAGCUAGUUGGUAAGGUAACGGCUUACCAAGGCAACGAUGCACAGCCGACCUGAGAGGGUGAUCGGCCACACUGGAACUGAGACACGGUCCAGACUCCUACGGGAGGCAGCAGUAGGGAAUCUUCCGCAAUGGGCGAAAGCCUGACGGAGCAACGCCGCGUGAGUGAUGAGGGUCUUCGGAUCGUAAAACUCUGUUAUUAGGGAAGAACAUAUGUGUAAGUAACUGUGCACAUCUUGACGGUACCUAAUCAGAAAGCCACGGCUAACUACGUGCCAGCAGCCGCGGUAAUACGUAGGUGGCAAGCGUUAUCCGGAAUUAUUGGGCGUAAAGCGCGCGUAGGCGGUUUUUUAAGUCUGAUGUGAAAGCCCACGGCUCAACCGUGGAGGGUCAUUGGAAACUGGAAAACUUGAGUGCAGAAGAGGAAAGUGGAAUUCCAUGUGUAGCGGUGAAAUGCGCAGAGAUAUGGAGGAACACCAGUGGCGAAGGCGACUUUCUGGUCUGUAACUGACGCUGAUGUGCGAAAGCGUGGGGAUCAAACAGGAUUAGAUACCCUGGUAGUCCACGCCGUAAACGAUGAGUGCUAAGUGUUAGGGGGUUUCCGCCCCUUAGUGCUGCAGCUAACGCAUUAAGCACUCCGCCUGGGGAGUACGACCGCAAGGUUGAAACUCAAAGGAAUUGACGGGGACCCGCACAAGCGGUGGAGCAUGUGGUUUAAUUCGAAGCAACGCGAAGAACCUUACCAAAUCUUGACAUCCUUUGACAACUCUAGAGAUAGAGCCUUCCCCUUCGGGGGACAAAGUGACAGGUGGUGCAUGGUUGUCGUCAGCUCGUGUCGUGAGAUGUUGGGUUAAGUCCCGCAACGAGCGCAACCCUUAAGCUUAGUUGCCAUCAUUAAGUUGGGCACUCUAAGUUGACUGCCGGUGACAAACCGGAGGAAGGUGGGGAUGACGUCAAAUCAUCAUGCCCCUUAUGAUUUGGGCUACACACGUGCUACAAUGGACAAUACAAAGGGCAGCGAAACCGCGAGGUCAAGCAAAUCCCAUAAAGUUGUUCUCAGUUCGGAUUGUAGUCUGCAACUCGACUACAUGAAGCUGGAAUCGCUAGUAAUCGUAGAUCAGCAUGCUACGGUGAAUACGUUCCCGGGUCU
rnacentral:rRNA from 1 species